CCUACGGGAGGCAGCAGUGAGGAAUAUUGGUCAAUGGGCGGGAGCCUGAACCAGCCAAGCCGCGUGAGGGAAGAAGGUACAGCGUAUCGUAAACCUCUUUUGUCAGGGAACAAAGGCGGGGACUAAUCCCCGGAUGAGGGUACCUGAAGAAAAAGCAUCGGCUAACUCCGUGCCAGCAGCCGCGGUACUACGGAGGAUGCGAGCGUUAUCCGGAUUUAUGGGGUUUAAAGGGUGCGCAGGCGGCCUGUUAAGUCAGCGGUAAAAGCCCGGGGCUCAACCCCGGAGAGCCGUUGAAACGGGCGGGCUGGAGUUGGAGAGAAGUACGUGGAAUGCGCGGUGUAGCGGUGAAAUGCUUAGAUAUCGCGCAGAACCCCGAUUGCGAAGGCAGCGUACCGGCUCCACACUGACGCUGAGGCACGAAAGCGUGGGUAUCGAACAGGAUUAGAUACCCGUGUAGUC
rnacentral:rRNA from 1 species